rnacentral:tRNA from 1 species
UCCCUGGUGGUCCAGUGGUUAGGACUUAGUGCUUUCACUGCGGGGACCCAGGUUCAAUUCCUGGUUGGAGAA